rnacentral:rRNA from 1 species
UACAGAGGGGGCGAGCGUUGUUCGGAAUUACUGGGCGUAAAGGGCGCGUAGGCGGCCUUCUAAGUCGAACGUGAAAUCCCCGGGCUCAACCCGGGAACUGCGUCCGAUACUGGGAGGCUUGAAUCCGGGAGAGGGAUGCAGAAUUCCAGGUGUAGCGGUGAAAUGCGUAGAUAUCUGGAGGAAUACCGGUGGCGAAGGCGGCAUCCUGGACCAUUACUGACGCUGAGGCGCGAAAGCGUGGGGAGCAAACAGG